rnacentral:rRNA from 1 species
CUGGUGUUAUGGGAUGAACUCAACGUGGUGUUAAGGUGCCUGAUGCUGCUGUUCAUCAUACCCCAGAAAACAGUGGACAGCAGGACAGUGGCCAUGGAAGUCAGAAUACACUAAGGAAUGUUUAACAAUGAAUCAACUAGCCCUGAAAAAUAGAAUGAUACUGAAGCAUUGGACCCAUAUCCGGCCGUUGCCAGUGGUUAAGAGUGGACAGGAGUGGUGAGGGUUGUUGCCGCUGCUGGAGCCCUGCGGAUGCUAUGCUGCUAUGAGUAGGAGGGCCUCUGUGGUGAGACUUGAAGCCUAGGGUGUGAGCCUGGGUAGAGCUGCCUCAGGUGCAGAUCUUGGUGGUAGUAGCAAAUAUUCAAAUGAGAAUUUUGAAGGAUGAAGUGGAGAAGGAUUCCAAUUGAACAUGGGUCAGCCAGUCCUGAAAAAUGGGCGUGUGCCCUUCCGAAGGAAUGGAUGAUGACUUCCGUUGCCCUCACCAAUCGAAAGGGAGUCAAAUUCAGAUUUCUGAAUCCAGAGUGGCAGAGAUGGGCACCAGUGAGGGGUUCAGGGAGGUAAUGCAACUGAUCCUGGAGAAGCUGGUGGGAGUCCAGGGGAGAGUUCUUUUGUGAACAGCAGGGCACCCUGGAAUGGGCUCGCCCUGAAAGGCKCCUGUACRUUGGAAAGCAAGGUGSUUCUGGCCCUUGAAAAUCUAUAAAUAUAAAUCUCACACCGGGCUGUAACCAUGUCCACAGCAGAUCUCCAAGGUGAACACUCUCUGGCAUGUUGGAACAAUGUAGGUAAGGGAAAUCAGCAAGUGGGAUCGGUAAAUUCAGGACAAGGAUUUGUUUGCUCCAAGGGCUUUGCUGGUCCUGCUGGGGUGUGAAGCGGGAUGGGUGCAGCCCUUGGCUGGAUGAGGUGGUGCUGCUCCUCCUCAGCACUAGGGACACCCCUCUGCAGCCAUUCCCUACCCCACCCCAUGUAUCUCCCUCUCCCCCAUCCCUCCCCCUUGCUAUUGCUGGUGCCUAGCAGCCAACUUAGAAUUGGUGCAGACCAAGGGAAUCUGAGUAUUUAAAACAAAGCAUGAUGAAGGCCAGUGGUGGCUGUUGACACUAUGUGAAUUCCGCCCAGUGCUCUGAAUGUCAAAGUGAAGAAAUUCAGUGAAGCCACUGGUAAAGGACAGCAGUAACUAUGACUCUCUUAAGGUGUAGUCAAAUGCCUCCUCAUCUAAUUAGUGGCGCGUAUGAACGGAUGAACGAGAUUCUCACUGUCCCUACCUGCUAUCCAGUGAAACCACAGUCAAAGGAAUGGGUUUGACUGAAUCAGCAGGGAAAGAAGACCCUGUUAAGACUGACUCCAGUCUGGCACGGUGAAGAGACAUGAGAGUUGCAGAAUAAGUGAAAGGCCCCCAGCAGCCUUCUGUCACUAUGAGGGGAUGGGGUGGGGUCCACCGGCCUUGUGGCUGCUGGUGAAAUGCCACUACCCUGAUCAUUUUUUCACUGACCUGGUGAGGGGGAAGGGGAUGAGCUACAAGGAGCUCUCACUUUUGGCGCCAAGCACUUGGCCACAUGCUGGCUUGGUGUGACCUGCUCCAGGAAUAGUACCAGGUGCAGAGUUGGACUGGGACGGUACACCUAUUGAAUGGUAAUGCAGGUGUAUGAAGGGUGAGUGCAGGGAAUACAGAAACCUCCCGUGG